UACGUAGGGUGCGAGCGUUAAUCGGAAUUACUGGGCGUAAAGCGUGCGCAGGCGGUUCGCCAAGUCAGGUGUGAAAUCCCCGGGCUUAACCUGGGAAUUGCGCUUGAAACUAGCGGGCUUGAGUGUGGCAGAGGGGGGUGGAAUUCCACGUGUAGCAGUGAAAUGCGUAGAGAUGUGGAGGAACACCGAUGGCGAAGGCAGCCCCCUGGGUCAACACUGACGCUCAUGCACGAAAGCGUGGGAGCAAACAGG
rnacentral:rRNA from 1 species